rnacentral:misc_RNA from 1 species
GUUAACCUUGUACCAAUCAUUCCCUUAGAUGGUAAUAGUUAAAAGACUAAAUGCUCUAUCUCAACGCAAAUAGGCCUCUCAUACUCAUCAACACUCUCUUCAGGGUUUAAGUGAUCACCUACAAUUUACAAACAUCCCAACCAAUUUCCACAACCAUUUAUGAAAUUGCCAAAUGACAGCCUAUAUAAAUCACACAAUUUUGCCAACAAGGCAAAUAAAUAAAUCCCUGUUGACUCAUGAUUACUCAACCUAUGGGGAAAGACACCUACUAGCCAGAAGGUUUGUCAUUCACAUCUAAACAGAAACCAUUCAUGGCAAAAAGUUGCAUACCUUAACUGAAUUU